UACGUAGGGGGCUAGCGUUGUCCGGAAUCAUUGGGCGUAAAGCGCGUGUAGGCGGUCCGGUAAGUCCGCUGUGAAAGUCGGGGGCUCAACCCUCGGAUGCCGGUGGAUACUGUCGGGCUUGAGUACGGAAGAGGCGAGUGGAAUUCCUGGUGUAGCGGUGGAAUGCGCAGAUAUCAGGAGGAACACCAAUAGCGAAGGCAGCUCGCUGGGACGGUAUUGACGCUAAGGCGCGAAAGCGUGGGGAGCAAACAGG
rnacentral:rRNA from 1 species